rnacentral:rRNA from 1 species
UACGACUACAUAUCAGGCAUAUCAAUAAGCGGAGGAAAAGAAACUAACAAGGAUUCCCUUAGUAACGGCGAGUGAAGCGGGAAGAGCUCAAAUUUGAAAUCUUCAAGGUUUUACCUUGACGAAUUGUAGUUUAAAGAAGUGUUUUCUGUUGAAGUUUCGGUAAAAGUUCUUUGGAAUAGGACAUCAUAGAGGGUGAGAAUCCCGUAUUUGACCGUUAUUUUCAGCUGUGUGAUACACUUUCAAAGAGUCGGAUUGUUUGGGAAUGCAGUCCAAAAUGGGUGGUAAAUUUCAUCUAAAGCUAAAUAUUGGCGAGAGACCGAUAGCGAACAAGUACCGUGAGGGAAAGAUGAAAAGAACUUUGAAAAGAGAGUUAAACAGUACGUGAAAUUGUCAAAAGGGAAGCGUUUGACACCAGUGUUGUUUUUCUCGAAAAUCAAUUACAAAUGGCUGGAUUCUAGUGUUGUCAUGACCUUAAAAGCUUGUUUCUUUCUUUUCCUGUCUUUCUUAAUGCACUUUUCGGUUAACAAGUCAACAUCAAUUUCUUUUGUUGUAAAAGGUUAAGAGGAAGGUGGCUUUACUUUCGGGUAAAGUGCUUAUAGCCUUUUAACUCUGCAAUCGGAGAGAUUGAGGUCUGCAGCGUAGAUCCUUCGGGGCUAGAUACGUUUGUGCUAAGUUAUGGCUUUUCAUAGACAACUUGUUGACUAUGUUUAGUCUUGUAGCUUACUCGCUUAUGCUAUUUUACCUACGCUUAGGAUGUUGAACGCGCACAGAGUCUC